GCAAGUCGAACGGUAACAGACGCUGAUGAUCCCUUCGGGGUGAUUCUUGUGCUGACGAGUGGCGGACGGGUGAGUAAUGCGUAGGAAUCUGCCCAAUAGCGGGGGACAACUAUCGGGAAACGGUAGCUAAUACCGCAUAAGCCUUACGAGGGAAAGAUGGCCUCUUCUUGAAAGCUAUCGCUAUUGGAUGAGCCUACGUCGGAUUAGCUUGUUGGUGGGGUAAUGGCCUACCAAGGCGACGAUCCGUAGCUGGUCUGAGAGGAUGAUC
rnacentral:rRNA from 1 species